ACUCUGUGCUCGGCUUGCCGCAUCUAACAGGACAAAUGGGUCCACAUUAUUCCUCGUUUAUAGGUUUUCUUCCUUCCUCACUCCAGAACUGAAUUAACAAACAGUUGGAUAGGAAGUGUAGGCAUCGUCCUGAAGUAUAGAUUAUACCAUAAACUGCGUUUGCUUGCUAAAAUGAAGAGUACAUCCAAGACACGGUUGCUUCAUGAUUUUCUUCACCCAGUCCCUCCAUUGUAGUCUGACGGAUUCUUGGUUUCAGUAGGCCGUUUCACUGCCGCUCCAUCUGGUCAGAUGGGUGUACUGCAGAUGUCCCUGAUGUCUUUUUUCACAGAAGCCACGCCACGGAGAAUGUUUGUAGAGGGAGAAAAGGAAUGGUGUAUUGUCAGCAAGAGAGGAGCGCCGAAGGAAGCAGAGUGGAAACCUUCCUCUGAAGAAGCCGAGCCCAUCAUUUGGAGCCAGCACUGCCUCCUUGUGGCCAUGUCUUCACAUUACAGCUGAACGAGACACCAAAACCAUAACCAACAAGAUUGAAGAAAAAGAUGAAAAUAAACAUAAAUGGACACAAGCGGAAGGAAUCCAGGGGCCGUAUUCACAGACAUCCUAACGCUAAAAGUAGCUCCUAAUUAUAAGGGGCGUGUCAAUCGUAAUUUGAGGACGUUUAAGUUUUUGGUAGAGUAGGCUAUGUAGCUCCAAGGUGUUCAAUACUAUAUAGAUUAUAUAGAUAAUUACGAAAUUAAGAAUCACAUGAAUAAAUUGUGGAAAUAUAUAAAUGAAAAAAUCAUUUGUGAAAUAAUUUAAGAAAUUAGUACAAUUCAACUCAUUAUAAAAUGUUAUUUCAUCUUUAUUUCAAUAAUUCUCUUUUUCAAAAGUCUACUUUUAUUAUUAUAAUGGCAGUUUCCCCUUGUAAAUACACUUGUAUUUCAUGCUACUUUUUAUUUCAUAAUGUGACACUUCAUGACAGUGGUGAUGUCACCAGUCACCUUCCCCUCACCUCUCAGCCAAUCACAUGCCCCCUUGCUUCUCUUAAGCUAGCAAGCUCAACAACUGCUACCAUUAUUAGCCAAUUAGCAACUGUUAGCAAGAACAACAACAAUGCUAAAGUAUUCUGAAUGAACUAUCUAGCUGCUGCUGUGAAUAAACACAGUACACAAACAAAGAAACCACCAUCUUUUAUCUAUUGAGCAUAUCAAGGCUGCACAUGAGCUUUAUUACUCAUCAAAGUGAAAAACUAUUCAGGUUUAAAUUAAAUGUAACCAUAACCCUCAGCUGAUCAGUGUAUUCUUGCCUAAAAAUGAGGGAAUAUAUAAAAGGGUGAGUUACCAAAAUUACCUGGGAAAUCAAACCAAACUACCUGCAUGACUAGUAGAAACCACUACAGGCAGGUGAAAAAAAAAUGUUGCUUUCUACCUAAGCAGAUGUAAUAUAGAAAAAGAAAAACAGACCUACGAUCUUCUACUGAAAUAAAAACAUUUCAAUACAGGCAAAGAAACUUCGACUGUCGUCGAGACGUAGUGAUCAUCUGCCUCUCCAUCACCUGACUUCAACAAAAUCCAUUAAUGUAUUGUUUAUCUGCAAGUCUUUCUACUUACUCAGAUUGCAUUGAGGACAGCAUGAUCUCAUUCACUUUUACUGGGUGACUGAUGAUGGAAACUUUUUAGGCUAGAUCUAAAAUGAGCAGCAAGGCAUUUUGGUCAGGUGGCAUUUGCUGUCAGUUAUUGAGAAUAGUUGGCAGACAACACUGACAGUAUCUGUGGAUUAGCUCUAGUCACUGACACAUUGUUUCUGGAAAGGAACAGCUGAUCCCCAGUGUAAUGUUUUGAGGCUCUGAGCACCACAAACCAGAUUCUACCCAUCCGACUGUGUUCAGGUGAUUGCAGAAGUGUCAGCAGCUAAGAUCUAAUAACAUCAAAAUCAAUCUGCUCUGCUAGAUACAACAACUAGGGGUAUUUUCUUUUUUUGUGAUUAUUAAUGAGAAUGAAGAAAAAACAAGGCACCACACAGCACAUGAUAUUUCAACAAUUUAUUCAACAACUUCAUAGACAUUUUCUUAAGAAGUGUGCUGCUUUAUUUGAUGUUUUAUAAGUGCAGGAACCAAAGCUUUUUACAUGCACAUGGCCUCAGCACAGAUACAGGAGAAACGUUUUUGUCAUUUCACUUCUUUUUUUUUUUUUUUUUU